rnacentral:rRNA from 1 species
GGGUGAGUAACGCGUGAGUAACCUGCCUUGGAGUGGGGAAUAACAGCUGGAAACAGCUGCUAAUACCGCAUGAUGCAGUUGGGUCGCAUGCUCUGACUGCCAAAGAUUUAUCGCUCUGAGAUGGACUCGCGUCUGAUUAGCUAGUUGGCGGGGCAACGGCCCACCAAGGCGACGAUCAGUAGCCGGACUGAGAGGUUGGCCGGCCACAUUGGGACUGAGACACGGCCCAGACUCCCACGGGAGGCAGCAGUGGGGAAUAUUGGGCAAUGGGCGCAAGCCUGACCCAGCAACGCCGCGUGAAGGAAGAAGGCUUUCGGGUUGUAAACUUCUUUUCUUAGGGACGAAGAAACGACGGUACCUAAGGAAUAAGCCACGGCUAACUACGUGCCAGCAGCCGCGGUAAUACGUAGGUGGCAAGCGUUAUCCGGAUUUACUGGGUGUAAAGGGCGUGUAGGCGGGACUGCAAGUCAGAUGUGAAAACCAUGGGCUCAACCUGUGGCCUGCAUUUGAAACUGUAGUUCUUGAGUACUGGAGAGGCAGACGGAAUUCCUAGUGUAGCGGUGAAAUGCGUAGAUAUUAGGAGGAACACCAGUGGCGAAGGCGGUCUGCUGGACAGCAACUGACGCUGAGGCGCGAAAGCGUGGGGAGCAAACAGGAUUAGAUACCCUGGUAGUCCACGCUGUAAACGAUGGAUACUAGGUGUGGGGG